GCUCACCGAAAGGUGCAGUGCAGCACCAGGCUAAUAACCUUGGGUGUGGUAAUAGUAUAUGGAAUAGGGAGAAUCUGCAGCCAAGCCCCUUUGGGGGUGCAGUUCACAGGCCAAAUGGUAGUGGGCACAAUUGUGCUUAAGAUAUGGUCGAAUCCCAAUUGAAAAGUUGGGUACAAGUACUCUUAUAGGGUCUAUCUUAGGCUCUCCGAUGCCAUUGCUUGCUUUGUAAUGCAAAUGUUCCGUAGGUGAACCUGCGGAAGGAUCAUUA
rnacentral:rRNA from 1 species